UCCCCCCCCCCCCCCCGGCAGCAACAGCAAACGUGGGAGAAUUUCAUACAGGAAACAACAGGUUUGGGGUUUGUGUUUCCUUCUAACGCUGCACAGGCUUAGGAGGAAAACACCGUGAGCCCCCGUGGGCACCACUGCUCCCCUGACAGAGUAAGAGCGUGUUUUUUUUCCCAGUCAUGUUUGACAAAUGCAAUGAGAACGCUUUGCUUUCAAUCUGCUCAAGCAAGCGAUUGCUGCGGCAGUGAGAAGAUCUCUUUUGAUGGACACAGUUGAAAGAGAAAUCCUGAAGAGUGGCUUCUGAGAGAAAACUCAUUGGAGUAAGAAGAUACACCGCACACGCUAUAAAAGAAAGAGGUAUGGCAAGAGGUGCCCAGGUCUUGCUAAGGAUUGCAAAGAGCUCUUCCACUCCUGAGAAGAAAGGGAGACGUAUUUCUUCCAGGCACACAGGAACCUGCCUAGACUGGGAAAACAAAUCCUGCAGGAUACAAAUGCUGUUCCAGGCUGCUGUAUGUUAUUAUCCAAACACCAUUUCUCCCCUCAAGGCUUGUGCCAGCAGCUGUGUCUCACCAGCAUUGAUGGGGAAGCCUCUGGAAGGGGAUGGUUCGGGUCAGCAGAGUGGUUUUGCAGCCACACUGCCAAAGGAAACUCGAGUAUCAGGAAGAUGGGAGCCUCGUUUUGCAUCGUUACCCUCCGAACUCAUCCCUUACAAACCCUGCCCUCCCGCUCUGCAACAGCACAACGCAGAUGCAUGUUUGUUGCCCGCUCUCCCAUCAUUGAGACAUCAUUUAGUAUUAAGACACAGAGGACCAGGGGCCUCAGAAGCGGCGAGGGAAGAUUUACAGCGCAGUUGCUGUCAGUUGCUUUGGUCUAAUUAAGUGGCUCCUGCCUCCCUGAUGCGGCUCCAGUGCGGUGGAGCUUGACUUGCUGGGCAUGAGGGAAGCCUCCCGGCCGCUCGCUGUUACUAAUACCUCCACCCCACUGAAAUAACACUGAAAUAAGCUGUAAAAGCCUGUCAUUGAGCUCUCAUUGCUUUGUCAGUAGAUGGGUGCCUCCCUCCUUGGGUGCCUGUGCCCAGGACAGCACCAACACAACCCAUGGGGCAAGGGUGGCUGUGGGGAGCAGGAUGCGGUGCCAGAUGCUGCCCCUGUGGGGCCACCACCAACCUCAAACCUUUCCUUGGAGAUGCAGGCACUUCUCUGCCUCCUUGUCAGAGGGGGCAAUGGGGUGUUGGUGGUAGAGGAGAGCUCUGCAGGAGAAGACCGCUCUGGAGGAGAAGACCAAGGCAGCCAUGGACCCAACAGGUCUUCUCCACAUGGCCCCACCUUUCUGGGGCAGGGGCUCCCUCCCCAGUUUGCCUGGAGCCACUCUGCCUCUCUCUGUAUUUCUAACACCUGGAAACAGAACAGCUUGCAGUAAGCACUUCACACAACAAGCUCAGCCUGUUUUCUCACGUCAAAGAAAUAAGGAACAGGUCACGGUUUAAGUAAACGUGUCUAUUAGCCUCAGUUGUCUGAAUUAUUUUUGAUUACGGCUUAUUAUUUGCUUCUUGUUAACAAAUUGGCUGGUGUUAGUCAUCAGUGCACAUGCCACCUAAUUGGCUGUUUACAUCAUAUGUUGUUCUCCCUGUUCCCUCAUUGGGUAAAUUAAAUUUUAUUAAACAGCAGCCUUCUUCCUCUCUGUUUGCAGAUGAUGCAUGAACAUUUGUAGCUACUUGGCAAUUCUGUCAUGAGAUAAUAAAAGAGCUUUUCAAAAUGCCA
ensembl:lncRNA